GUCGAACGGCAGCGAGGAGAAGCUUGCUUCUCUGUCGGCGAGUGGCGAACGGGUGAGUAUAGCAUCGGAACGUGCCAAGUAGUGGGGGAUAACCAAACGAAAGUUUGGCUAAUACCGCGUAAGCUCCAAGGAGGAAAGUAGGGGACCUAAAUAAGGCCUUACGCUAUUUGAUCGGCCGAUGUCGGAUUAGCUAGUUGGUGGGGUAAUGGCUCACCAAGGCAAUGAUCCGUAGCGGGUCUGAGAGGACGAUCCGCCACACUGGGACUGAGACACGGCCCAGACUCCUACGGGAGGCAGCAGUGGGGAAUUUUGGACAAUGGGGGAAACCCUGAUCCAGCCAUGCCGCGUGUAUGAAGAAGGCCUUAGGGUUGUAAAGUACUUUUGUUAGGGAAGAAAAGCUAGUUUUUAAUAAAAAUUAGUGAUGACGGUACCUAAAGAAUAAGCACCGGCUAACUACGUGCCAGCAGCCGCGGUAAUACGUAGGGUGCAAGCGUUAAUCGGAAUUAUUGGGCGUAAAGCGAGUGCAGACGGUUACUUAAGCCAGAUGUGAAAUCCCCAAGCUUAACUUGGGACGUGCAUUUGGAACUGGGUGACUAGAGUGUGUCAGAGGGAGGUAGAAUUCCACAUGUAGCGGUGGAAUGCGUAGAGAUGUGGAGGAAUACCGAUGGCGAAGGCAGCCUCCUGGGAUAACACUGACGUUGAGGCUCGAAAGCGUGGGGAGCAAACAGGAUU
rnacentral:rRNA from 1 species